rnacentral:lncRNA from 1 species
AUCAAUCAACUUAUUUCUUUUCAGUUUUACAGGAUUUAUUGCAAGAAUACUGGGAAUUAGAAGAAUAAAUAAUCAGAGUAAAUUUGUAUUUUUAAUUUCUGAAGGAAACCUAAUGAGAUAUAUGAUGUGUAUUGAUAAUCCUCAAGAAGAUUUAGCAAAGAGGAUUGAAUUGCAUCAGAUUGUCAUCAUUAAACGAUCCAGACCAAAGCUUGGAAUUCUUCGUGAGUUAAUUAAUGAUCCUCUCAUAAAUGAAUUCAGAUUUGAAAUUAAUAACAUAAGGAAUUUGAAAAUUACAAAGAUAAUAUUAGGACUUGAUGACUUCAUAAAUAUGCCUAAUUUUGAAAUUGAACUUGAAUCGGAAAAUGAAGAAUAAAUACUUGAUAAGGAAAUUAUUAACUAAGUCAUCCUUGGAUCUUAACGAUGGAAUACUCAAACAAAAAAAAUACUGAACUAAUUAAUAAAUGAUCAAAAAUAAAAUUAAUUAAAAGAAGAUGAAUGAUUAAAAA